ACAAAAAUGGCUUCAACCUUUCCCUUUUUUUUUUACCAAAGGAUAAGAGUCUGGAGCUUUCUAUUAGUAAAACUGUUAAUCUUUUGGCCAGCUUGAGGUUUCCCGAUUGCUGUCAAUGAUUUAGAUUACAAUUUAAAGUAAAAGCUUAUAUGACCUUUGACAUGAUCAAGUGAUCUUGAAACUGUUUCACAUUAUUUUCCUUUCAACAGUUAAUUCUUUGAACCUUUUCACAAUCAAAUUUCCCUCUUUACUCUUUUCCUUUUCCCUCCAUGUUUGUUUACUUUUUUUAUGCAUAAAAUUAUGUUGGUAACAAAAGGAGGCUUAACUGUGUGGCUUUUUUUUGCCAUAAAAAAAGGCUAAAAGAUUGAUCUCAAUUGUAAUACAAUUUAAGUUUAAGUUAGUUCAAUUGUUGGUCAAUGGGUUUUGUUAUUCAAGUGGAUUUUCAAGUGAUUUUUCUUUGUGUUUGUUUCCUAUUUGGCUCAAUACAUCUAUAUCAUAUAUCGGAAAUGGUCUCUGGUGUCAACUGAAAAAAGCUUCAACAAGUAAAUCCUUUUACUUGAUUUAAUAAAUUAACUAUAUAAUCAUGAAUACACUUGGAAUUGACCAACUAAGCUUCCACCAAUUUUCUGGACUAUUGGACAGUUUUGUUUUUUGAAAGACCUUGCAAGUUGACUAGUGUAAACUUUUAGAUAAUUUACCCAUUGGAUUUUCAUGCCCAUCAAAAUUUUUUCUUGAAUCUAACAAUUGUAAGUUUACACCAUGUAUUUUUCUGUAAAAAUUGACGAUAGAUUUGAAAUGAUCAUUUUCUUGGUUACAAUCACUUUUCAUAUUGUAAUUUAUGAGAUAUAAACACAAUGGGAACGGAUGGCAACGUCCACACUCUAUGAUUUGAGGCUCAACUCAACAAUUGCUAACAAUUCAAGUAUUUAAGCUUUACCAGUUCGAUCAAGUGUUUUUUGAUUUUAUUGAUAUUUACUGGAAUAAUCAUUAUGCCAGCAACUAUAACAGUUAUAUCAUUUUACUACACAUCAAGCAUUUGUUUAACACUUGAAGAAUCAAAAGUCUAGACGUGAAAUUUAAUAAUUUAAUGCUAUUUGAAAAAACAAAAUUUUUCAUUGGAAAUCAGAAGUACACUAAUUUAAUUUAAUUUGGUCUCAACUUUCCCUUAUAAGGAUUUAUUGUUGGAUAAUUGUCAAUUGAUCCAACAAGUUUGCAAAUCAGUUUGCAAAUGAUGGGCAAAAUCAAAAUGAUAAGUUAAAUUGUUUUCAGAUGUUGAUCAUUAUAAAACGUAUAGUUUCUACAUCAUUAAUUGGCAAAAUAGACGAUUUCUUGUGAAUCUAAUCGCAGCAUUCCUUGUAGACGGUGACAAAUUCAGCCAAUGAAUAUUUCUGAGAAUGAUUGGACGAUUGGUUAACGCUGUUGACAAUUAUUACAACUUUAAAGGGUCUACUAGUGAUGGAUGUUCAAGUCAUUUCCUUUACAAAUCAGAAAAGCCAUUUAACCCUGAUUAGUUGUUAAGACAAAGUUUCAUUUGUAUUUAUGUUGGAAGUAAACAAGGUUUCGUCUUCUCAUUCCAGUUUCAUCAAUCUGAAAAGUUAUCCUGUUCAUGGAAAGCAAGUUACUUUUUCAACCAAUCAACCAAUUCACGUCAAUUUGUAAAUUUAAAUGGUUUCAUAAAAUUGGUCGUAAAAAUGCUCUUCAUUGACAAGCAAAGGCUAAAGUAGAGCAAUUGAUGGAGGCAACAGUUUUUUUGGUACAAGAAACAGAAAUAAUCUUCGAAAGCAAAAGCAAAAAGACGUCUUGAACUGAUGUAAAUGGUGAUUGUAUUGGUGAUGUUGCACUAAAAAGGAUAGGGUUAAGCAAGAUAUUACGUUGUAAUUCAUUUUGUCCUUCAAUUAACUUCUUCUCAUCAUCAACUUUCAAAGAUUUAAGACCAACAUUUUGACAGAAUCAAACUGCAAAAAUGAAGAUUCCUUGAUGAACAUGAGAGUGAUGAUGGUUACUGCUGUUGGUUAUACUUGUCAACUCAGGUCUGGAAUAUAUCAAGUUAAUUGAACUUGCCUGAUAAUAUUUUAACGGCCAAUGCUGCAAAAAUCGAUACAAGAUGAUGAUAGUGUGAGAGUCUGAAUAGAUCAAGAAUCGAGAUUGCGUGGCCCAAACUAAAUAUAACUAUACGACAACAUCCAGGGUGCAUUGAAAGUAUAAUUUUCAUAUAAAUCUUGAUGCAGCAAGAUGAAAACUAUAGAUGAUCAAUGAUCUCUAUUUGCUGUAAAUUGAAGCGAUUAACUUUGUUUUACAUCUUUCUAUGGUCCAUGGUGAAAAGCUUACAAUUCGGCCUGUUUACAAUGUUCCAUCAAUGGACUAAUCAGUUAAAAAUUAACGACUAUACCUAACCAAUGGCUUGUUUAACUGACAAUAAUUGUGAAACAAUUCAUUUUGUGCAAUAAUUAGACGCACACAUAUACAGUACAAAAAAGCAAUUGAGGAAAUUUGCCGUAUUUUUGUGAUCGCGUUCAAUGUUGUAAACCCAAUGUGUGUGUCUGUGUGUGUGAGAGGGAAGAUGAGAGAGAGAGAGAGUUGUAAACAGACUGAUGAAGCUUGCAUCUUGAAGAAACCAAUUUUUAUGCCUCAAUAUCCAUUUGAGUAAUAGCAAUAAUGGUGUGAUGAUGAGCGAGGGAGGAUGAAGAUAAGGUUUUCAAGUAAAUGUGUCUGGUUGCAGAUGAAGUAUUACACUUUGUAAAAUUUGGAAAAACUUUGCUUCUUCUAUUGAAAUUGAUGCAUUUUCACUGGCUUUUACUGAUUGACUUUUCAAUGUUAGUUUCUCAAAAAGCCUGCUACUCUUACAAGAUGAUUGACCUCAAAGACUGAGGUUAAAAGAAAAGUGUUGGUCCUCAAAAUUACAUAUGAUUUUACAAGACAAAAUAGUGGCCAGUGUUUUUACGAGAUUUAACUUCCAUCUUUACUCAAAUCAUCCAUUCAACCUAAUCUUUCUCUUCAACUUCUAGGUCAAUCAAUCUUACAUUAUUGGACUCUAUCUUAACGCAUCUUUAACAUAUCUUGAAGACGCAAAUUAUGUCAAAUGUCACUCAUCUUAUUAUCCUUACAAGUUACCUUUAGUUGCCAAACGGAAGGAAGACUUCAUCCCCGGUCCAAUUGAAACUUGAAAAACGAUUUCAAUUUGUUAACAUCGUAUAAUCAAUCAAAAAAUGUUGUACAAUCACAAAUUACUAGUGUAUUGAAAAAGAUUUGCAAGUUAAUUUUUCGAGUGAAACAAGAUAAAUUGAGAAAAUAAAUUGUCUUAAGCAUCGACUAUCAGUUUCUCAUGGGAAAAUAAAACUAACUU